rnacentral:sRNA from 1 species
GUGUAUCCUUGGUGACGGUGAGAUGAUGGUGGGAGAGGUUCUGACCGGAAUCGCCAAAAGAAUCAAAUACUUAGAAGAAUGAAUGCACAUCAGUGUUGUUUAACAAUUUCCUAUAGUUCGUGAAAUUAAACGGAAUUUAAGCAAUCAGACAAAAAAGUUUCCAAAAUUAAGUUAAUGACAAAAUCCAAAGAUAUAAAAAUAUAUAUUAUAUUUUUAAAUUUUAUUUUGGUAUUCAUGAAUAAUGCACAAAGUAUAAUUUGUUUUUUAUUUGGUGUUAUGUCAUUCCCUGGCGCCAGGAAGGGAUAGCCCUGUCAAAAGAAAAAAGAAAUAAAAUUUAUUACCAAUAUAAAAAAUCUAUAACAAUUACACCCCCCCCCCCAAAAAAAACAAUCCAGAUAGCAAUUGUUCCUUUGCCAAGUGUUCAACAACUACCAGUAUGUGACAAUGGCAUCAUUUCUCAAAUGGGAUUGUUAGACCAAAUCUCUAACACUCUCUUAGAGUAUGGAAAAAGCAACCUAAAAUUGGAAUACAGAGCUGACGUUUACAUUUUGAACCAAAAAAAAACACAUCCAUGCCUGAUUUUGUAAUCAAAUUUUUAUCAAUGCGUACCAGACCUAAUUUGUGAUAAAGCUAUUAGUUUUUUUUAAAACAGGCGAGACUACGUUUUUGCUUUAUUCAUUGUCCUUUCUCACUGUAAACUAGAUUAAUUAUUUUAUAUUCUUUUUCCCCCAGUUUCUGAGAAGUAUGGACUCUUCAUCAUCACCAUGUUUGUAAAUUAAAGUAUCUUAAUACUAAAUUUAAAUUUCAUAAAAAAAUCAUAUUUAUGCAAAUCUUUAUACUUGAUUUUAACCUCAGUUCAUAUUUACGCAAAUAUACACCUUAUAUGAGCUAUGAAGUAUAUACCUGUGUGGCAUUUGUAUGACGGGUCCUGACCCUGAUGGUCCCUUGUCCUUCAGUCUGGAUGUCCAUCCUGCUGUGGGUUUCAACAGUCUGCUGGGAUCGCGAUCAACCUCAAUAUCAACCUGAAGAACAUCAUCAAAUGUCAGCAAACAUCAGACAAUAAAAUAAUAGCACACUU